UACGUAGGGGGGCAAGCGUUUGUCCGGAUUUAUUGGGGCGUAAAGAGCGUGUAGGCGGUUUGGUAGGUCCGCUGUGAAAACUCGAGGCUCAACCUCGAGACGCCGGUGGAAACCAUCAGGCUAGAGUCCGGAAGAGGAGAGUGGAAUUCCUGGUGUAGCGGUGAAAUGCGCAGAUAUCAGGAAGAACACCCCGUGGCUAAGGCGGCUCUCUAGUACGGUACUGACGCUGAGACGCGAAAGCAUGGGGAGCAAACAGG
rnacentral:rRNA from 1 species